AUGCGACACGCGUACACUCCGGUGCCUCCGCGACGUCCGUACAUCACCUGACGACUACUCGCUCCGUUUUUGCUGGCC
rnacentral:sRNA from 1 species